ACUCUUCAAAGAUGCAGAAGAGAGCUGUAAACACAGCCCCUGAUGAUUGGGUGGAUGCAAUCGUUCCACAUGUUUUCUAGAUGCCCGCAAAAUGGGAGCCGCCAUCAGACUGGCAGUUCUGAGGAGAAACUCUAAAUAAACAAGGGUGAUAUGUCUCACCAUUGUGCUUUGAUUUACACCUACCUCGUGACCAUUUUUUAAAAAGGAAAAAUCAUCGCUGCAGCAAUCCUGCAAUUAGCAGGGCGCUCCAUGAAAAUGUGCCAGCUCCCUUUUGGAAGGGCUUGCAUUGCCAUUUUCUGAGGGAAAUGAAUUCGUGGGUGACACUUUGAUAUCUGGAUUAUCAGUAAAAAGAAAAAAAAACCCCAAAAAAAAAAACAAAAGCAAAAACCAAUUCAAAACAGCACAAAGAAACCAGCUUAAGUGUUUUUCUUCUAAUCAAAAGGAACCAUGAAGAAAUUGUGCCCCCUGCUGAUUUAAUUUAAUAUUAAAUUAAAUUGUUAACGUCAUCAACAAGCCAGAGCUGGAGGAAAGCACAGUGUCCCUCAAGGUCACAAUUGAAAUUCGCCCUCAGCAGUUGGGCAGCCUAUGCCAGCGACUGGAAACCUUCCACAUAAUUUAAAAAAAAAAAAAGAAAAGAAAAGAAAUAAAAAGGUGGCAAGCCUCAUGCUGUGGGCUUCCUGGGAUAUUCGUCCUAAGGACUUUGCUGAGUUGUACAUACCUUUGGUGACAGCUGAACACAGGUCCCUGGGAUUACUGACUGCCAUCUUGACAAGAGCCAAGGGACAUCAGAACCCUGUCCUGAAUAACAGAAAUAAAAACGCCCCUAAAGCUGGAAGAGCAAAGACAGGCAGCCUGGAAGCCAUUUAACUGGGAGCCAAUGAACCUUCCACACCUCCCCACAGCUCCAGGCUGGGGCAGUAUUGAAAACCACGGAUGCGCUGAUGGCAUCCCUUCCUUUUUGUCCUGUGGCCCUAACUCCUGUCUUGAUGUCUCUUUACAUCUUCUAUUGUCUCUCAACCUUGGCUUUUGUAUUUGUUAAUUUUAAAAAAAGGAUUUCUUUAUUUUUUUAUGUUCAUCUGUGCGUGCCUAGUGUACUAAAUGUACCAUCUCCUGGCGGGUGGCAGAGGGGGUCAAAACAGGCUAGUUUAAUCCCCUGGAACUGAAGUUACAAGUGGUUGUGAGCAGCUGGAUGUGGGUUCAUGGGAUCUUCUUUAAGAACAGAAAAUGCUCUUAACUUACUAAGGGCCGUUUCUCCAAACCUCAACUGGGCUUUUAACCUACGUUUCUAGUUUGUAACUCGUGGCCAACACGCUGCCACGCAAUCCUGCUGGCCGAGUUAACUGGCAAGAAUGUGUGCACUGCGGGUCUUCCCUUCUGCGGAGGGAAUGCUUGUACACAGAAAGGUGCAGAGUGACCUUGGAGGAAGUAACGGAGAGAGAGUGGUUCAAGGAGCAGGGCUUUCUAUCGCGCUUCUGGCCGAGGACACACUAGCGGCACAGCAGCUUCCCCUCGGGGAAGAGAAUGGUCUCCUCGGGUACGCAGCACAUGCAAAUAUUUUGUUCUAGUUUCACCGAACAGGUUAACAGGUUUAAAUACUGCCUUGCCUCCUCUGCUCUAACGGUGUUUUCAUGCUUCCAGGGCCGCUCGAUUGUGAUUACAGCCGCCAGGUUCUCCCAAAAAAAGGUGCGGCACUCUUGACUUGAAUCUUACUUAAAUAUAAAUUUCAGGGAAAAACAAAACAAACAAACAAAAAAAAAAAAAACCCCAAAAGCAAAACCAACUACCUUGGUCUUGAUAUUUGUUGGUUUUCUGAAAUCCGCUUUUAAUUGAACCUCCAUAUUCUAUGUGGCAGACUCUUGAUUUACUAUGUGUUUGACCUGUUUGGUUUCGAGAGCGUUCUAAAUGUACCACGGUUGCUGAGCCAGGGCUAGGAUGCACCGCGGGGCUCAGCAGCCACUCAUCUCCGGCUCUCGUCUCCCUCUAGCGGUUGCCAAGGAUAUCUCACUGAGCCUUCCCGCGGGCACCAGCAGGGCUCCUGGACCCGCGUUUUAUUUACCACACCCCCUUGGACAUUUUCCCCGGCAGGGAUAGGAAGGAGUAUUGAAAAUAAGACUUGCUAAAAACGAAUGUCUCUUCUCUGCAGAAGAAAGUGGCGCUGUCCACAAAGCCCGGAUGUAGUUUCUAUUACAUCAGUUAAAAAAUGCAGUGGAGAGGGGCUGAAGAGAUGGCUGAGCAGUUAUAAGAGCAUGCCCCACCCCCACCCCCGGGAAGACCCGAGUUCGGUUUCCAGCACCCAUGUCCAGGGUCUCACGUCUAACUGAAACUCCAGUUCCGGGUGAUCUGACUCCCCCCAGCAGGCGGGGCCUGCAGUCACGUGCAUGUACCCACACCUCCACACGCAUAAAUACAAAUAAAUACUUCUCCGGUAGACUGAGCCAUCUCACCACUGAAAACUGCUAAACACUGAUAUUUCAUACUGAGGGGAAACCAGAGCCCUUCCUCCAGCUGACUCCGGAUGAUUUGUCGAGAAUUUAUUCAGGGGCAGUCCUAAGGGCUGGAUGUGCUUUACACCAGACUGGAAGCUGUGGGUAAGACCUGCCUGGCUUCAUUAGCCUUCGUGUGCAGUUCACUCUUUCAAAUCUUGUGCAAAGGGAGUCAAGGUAAAUGGAAACCAGCAAGUAAAAAUAAAAGAGAAUGCAGAUGUGCCACGCCAUGAAAAGGCUCACUGUGUACACGGCUGUUUCAAGGACUUGCAGGUGAAUCUUUGCUGCUUGGGCAGGAGAGAGGUUGACAUCUGACUCACAGGCAUUUCUCCUUCAGGAAGCUGAGCAUUGUGUAACGUGCCUGAUUCAUACCUGCUGCAACUGACAUGUGUAAUAACAGUGCAGCAACAAAGAGUGUGAUGACGAAAGUCUAGACGCAACAGCUGCUUCUGGAGCUGUACACACCGACAGAGAAAUGAUGACCCUGGUUAAUCAACUCGCUCUCAUAACCAUUCCACUCAUACCGAGAGAGAGAGGAGUUUUCCUAACAUGCCCAUGGCAGAGAGAACAUUAUGUAACUGAUGCCUUUGUUCACCGUGUGUGCUCUUUGCUCCUAUCCUUCCCUUAUAAGGUGCCCUGUGGUUGUGCUUUGUAACUAAUGCCCAACAGAGACUUGUGAGCAUCUCCCACCCACUAGGAACUAUGCUAAAAGUCAGUGAGCAUCUCCUACACACUGGAUGCUGUGCUAAAAGUCAGAAAUACAAAAUCACCAGAUACAUACAGAUGUGCCUGUCUUCUGGCAUAGUCUUCUGUAGUGGGUAGCCCUUCCAGCUUUGACCUGGAAGUUCCAACCCCCAUUGAGGCUUCAGUAAUGGUCACGCCUACAAGACGGGGCUGAGAGAGGAUGCUGAAGACCUGAGAUCCGGAUGCUCGGGCUCUCUUGGUCCCUGGACUCUGGACGCUGGAGGUAGACCAAGCAGAGUUCUCCAGAGAACAUCGCCGGACUGUGCCACACCUUUCCCAGGCCCUGUUACCUAUCCCUUCACUUGUAAGUUACCCCACAAAAUAAACCUCCCU